CAGUGAAAUUGAACUCGCUGUGAAGAUGCAGUGUACCCGCGGCAAGACGGAAAGACCCCGUGAACCUUUACUAUAGCUUGACACUGAACAUUGAGCCUUGAUGUGUAGGAUAGGUGGGAGGCUUUGAAGUGUGGACGCCAGUCUGCAUGGAGCCGACCUUGAAAUACCACCCUUUAAUGUUUGAUGUUCUAACGUUGACCCGUAAUCCGGGUUGCGGACAGUGUCUGGUGGGUAGUUUGACUGGGGCGGUCUCCUCCUAAAGAGUAACGGAGGAGCACGAAGGUUGGCUAAUCCUGGUCGGACAUCAGGAGGUUAGUGCAAUGGCAUAAGCCAGCUUGACUGCGAGCGUGACGGCGCGAGCAGGUGCGAAAGCAGGUCAUAGUGAUCCGGUGGUUCUGAAUGGAAGGGCCAUCGCUCAACGGAUAAAAGGUACUCCGGGGAUAACAGGCUGAUACCGCCCAAGAGUUCAUAUCGACGGCGGUGUUUGGCACCUCGAUGUCGGCUCAUCACAUCCUGGGGCUGAAGUAGGUCCCAAGGGUAUGGCUGUUCGCCAUUUAAAGUGGUACGCGAGCUGGGUUUAGAACGUCGUGAGACAGUUCGGUCCCUAUCUGCCGUGGGCGCUGGAGAACUGAGGGGGGCUGCUCCUAGUACGAGAGGACCGGAGUGGACGCAUCACUGGUGUUCGGGUUGUCAUGCCAAUGGCACUGCCCGGUAGCUAAAUGCGGAAGAGAUAAGUGCUGAAAGCAUCUAAGCACGAAACUUGCCCCGAGAUGAGUUCUCCCUGACUCCUUGAGAGUCCUGAAGGAACGUUGAAGACGACGACG
rnacentral:rRNA from 1 species